rnacentral:misc_RNA from 1 species
AACACCUCGGCUUUCCCCCUCCUCUUCUCACGAAAUAGGGGGGGUGCAAGUUGGACUUGAGCAGUUUCCGAAACUCCCUUUGAAGAGGGGGUGUGCGGGAUGCUUAAAAUGCAGGUGCAGCUGGGAUUCCCAUUUUCAUUGUCCUUAGGCUACAAGCAUUUCUGCUUAAUCCGGUCAAACGGAUUAUACCUUUUUGCUGCAGUCAAACGAUAGUUUGGGUCCCUGAAACGCUGACUGAUGCAGGAUAUUUGACAGAUUUCGAUGGGGAGGGUUUCCUCCUUUUCAAUCUUGUUGUUCC